AAUGCAAAAUCACAUUAUGCAGCGUUACGACAGCGUAUAUUCGGUACUGCCUUUCGAGUAGAGCUGAGACUAUUCGACAAUAUUUCACGUGCUCUCACAAGAGGCUUUGAAACGGUGUAACUAUCUUCUUCCAUGGCAUCCCAUUGUACGUUAGCGAGAAAGGCAAGAUUGGAGCCCAGUGAUGAGUCUAUCUGAAAAUAGAAUCUCAUAAAAACUUUGCUUUCCUCGGUUUGGAAAAGUGCUGUCCUUAUUCAAGCACUGUCAAUUAUUUUAAAAAGUUAUGUGCCUUCUCGAUCAUCGCGUGUCGCAAGUGAAGAGUGGUGCCUUCAAGUAGCCAAACGUCCGUCCAGUUCUUCAUGUUCACGACGCCGCCCAACCAUUGUUCUCCUAUCAGGCUU